UCUGGCUCAGGAUGAACGCUAGCUACAGGCUUAACACAUGCAAGUCGAGGGGCAGCAUGAAGUUGCUGCAAACUUGAUGGCGACCGGCGCACGGGUGAGUAACGCGUAUCCAACCUUCCCCUUAGUAGCGGAUAGCCCGGCGAAAGUCGGAUUAAUACGCUAUGUUCUUCGUAGAGGACAUCUGAAAUGAAGCAAAGGCUUGCCGCUAAGGGAUGGGGAUGCGUCUGAUUAGGCAGUAGGCGGGGUAACGGCCCACCUAGCCGACGAUCAGUAGGGGUUCUGAGAGGAAGGUCCCCCACAUUGGAACUGAGACACGGUCCAAACUCCUACGGGAGGCAGCAGUGAGGAAUAUUGGUCAAUGGGCGCGAGCCUGAACCAGCCAAGUAGCGUGCAGGAUGACGGCCCUAUGGGUUGUAAACUGCUUUUAUACAGGGAUAAAGUGCGCCACGUGUGGUGUUUUGUAGGUACUGUAUGAAUAAGGACCGGCUAAUUCCGUGCCAGCAGCCGC
rnacentral:rRNA from 1 species